UACAGAGGUCCCAAGCGUUGUUCGGAUUCACUGGGCGUAAAGGGUGCGUAGGUGGUCAGGUAAGUCGGAUGUGAAAUCUCCGAGCUCAACUCGGAAACUGCAUUGGAAACUACCUGGCUCGAGGGUUGGAGGGGGGACUGGAAUUCCGGGUGUAGCGGUGGAAUGCGUAGAGAUCCGGAAGAACACCGGUGGCGAAGGCGGCCCGCUGGGCAGAGACUGACGCUGAGGCGCGACAGCGUGGGGAGCAAACAGG
rnacentral:rRNA from 1 species